rnacentral:rRNA from 1 species
UGGGGAAUAUUGGACAAUGGGCGAAAGCCUGAUCCAGCCAUGCCGCGUGUGUGAAGAAGGUCUUCGGAUUGUAAAGCACUUUAAGUUGGGAGGAAGGGCAUUAACCUAAUACGUUAGUGUUUUGACGUUACCGACAGAAUAAGCACCGGCUAACUCUGUGCCAGCAGCCGCGGUAAUACAGAGGGUGCAAGCGUUAAUCGGAAUUACUGGGCGUAAAGCGCGCGUAGGUGGUUUGUUAAGUUGGAUGUGAAAUCCCCGGGCUCAACCUGGGAACUGCAUUCAAAACUGACUGACUAUAGUAUGGUAGAGGGUGGUGGAAUUUCCUGUGUAGCGGUGAAAUGCGUAGAUAUAGGAAGGAACACCAGUGGCGAAGGCGACCACCGGGACUAAUACUGACCCUGAGGUGCGAAAGCGUGGGGAGCAAACA